AUUGAACGCUGGCGGCAUGCCUUACACAUGCAAGUCGAACGGCAGCACGGGUGCUUGCACCUGGUGGCGAGUGGCGAACGGGUGAGUAAUACAUCGGAACAUGUCCUGUAGUGGGGGAUAGCCCGGCGAAAGCCGGAUUAAUACCGCAUACGAUCUACGGAUGAAAGCGGGGGACCUUCGGGCCUCGCGCUAUAGGGUUGGCCGAUGGCUGAUUAGCUAGUUGGUGGGGUAAAGGCCUACCAAGGCGACGAUCAGUAGAUGGUCUGAGAGGACGACCAGCCACACUGGGACUGAGACACGGCCCAGACUCCUACGGGAGGCAGCAGUGGGGAAUUUUGGACAAUGGGCGAAAGCCUGAUCCAGCAAUGCCGCGUGUGUGAAGAAGGCCUUCGGGUUGUAAAGUACUUUUGUCCGGAAAGAAAUCCUUGGCUCUAAUACAGUCGGGGGAUGACGGUACCGGAAGAAUAAGCACCGGCUAACUACGUG
rnacentral:rRNA from 1 species